UAGGGAAUAUUGGUCAAUGGGUGAGAGCCUGAACCAGCCAUGCCGCGUGCAGGAAGACGGCCUUCUGGGUUGUAAACUGCUUUUACCAGGGGAUAAAAAGAUCUUGCGAGAUUAAUUGAAGGUACCUGGUGAAUAAGCACCGGCUAACUACGUGCCAGCAGCCGCGGUAAUACGUAGGGUGCAAGCGUUGUCCGGAUUUAUUGGGUUUAAAGGGUGCGUAGGCGGCCUGUUAAGUCAGUGGUGAAAUCCAACAGCUCAACUGUUGAUGUGCCAAUGAUACUGACAGGCUUGAGUACAGACGAGGUAGGCGGAAUUGACAGUGUAGCGGUGAAAUGCAUAGAUAUUGUCAAGAACACCGAUAGCGAAGGCAGCUUGCUAGCCUGUAACUGACGCUGAGGCACGAAAGUGUGGGGAUCAAACAGGAUUAGAUACCCUGGUAGUCCACACUGUAAACGAUGAUUACUCGAUGUUGGCGAUACACAGUCAGCGUCUUAGCGAAAGCGAUAAGUAAUCCACCUGGGGAGUACGCCGGCAACGGUG
rnacentral:rRNA from 1 species